AUUGAACGCUGGCGGCAUGCCUUACACAUGCAAGUCGAACGGUAACAGGUCUUCGGAUGCUGACGAGUGGCGAACGGGUGAGUAAUACAUCGGAACGUGCCCGAUCGUGGGGGAUAACGGAGCGAAAGCUUUGCUAAUACCGCAUACGAUCUACGGAUGAAAGCAGGGGACCGCAAGGCCUUGCGCGGACGGAGCGGCCGAUGGCAGAUUAGGUAGUUGGUGGGAUAAAAGCUUACCAAGCCGACGAUCUGUAGCUGGUCUGAGAGGACGACCAGCCACACUGGGACUGAGACACGGCCCAGACUCCUACGGGAGGCAGCAGUGGGGAAUUUUGGACAAUGGGCGAAAGCCUGAUCCAGCCAUGCCGCGUGUAGGAUGAAGGCCUUCGGGUUGUAAACUGCUUUUGUACGGAACGAAAAGACUCUUUCUAAUAAAGAGGGUCCAUGACGGUACCGUAAGAAUAAGCACCGGCUAACUACGUG
rnacentral:rRNA from 1 species